rnacentral:rRNA from 1 species
AUCCUGGCUCAGAUUGAACGCUGGCGGCAGGCCUAACACAUGCAAGUCGAGCGGUAACAGAAAGUAGCUUGCUCCUUUGCUGACGAGCGGCGGACGGGUGAGUAAUGCUUGGGAACAUGCCUUGAGGUGGGGGACAACAGUUGGAAACGACUGCUAAUACCGCAUAAUGUCUACGGACCAAAGGGGGCUUCGGCUCUCGCCUUUAGAUUGGCCCAAGUGGGAUUAGCUAGUUGGUGAGGUAAUGGCUCACCAAGGCAACGAUCCCUAGCUGGUUUGAGAGGAUGAUCAGCCACACUGGGACUGAGACACGGCCCAGACUCCUACGGGAGGCAGCAGUGGGGAAUAUUGCACAAUGGGCGCAAGCCUGAUGCAGCCAUGCCGCGUGUGUGAAGAAGGCCUUCGGGUUGUAAAGCACUUUCAGUCAGGAGGAAAGGUUAGUAGUUAAUACCUGCUAGCUGUGACGUUACUGACAGAAGAAGCA